rnacentral:lncRNA from 1 species
AUGUCAGACAUGCUGCGACAGGCUGAGCCCCCAAGAUGUUGAAGCAGGAGGAAACGCAGGAAUCAAGGGGGGGGGGGGUCUGUCUUAUCACCGCAGGUACAAAAGGAGAUUAGCCAGUUCACCUGAGGAGAGGCCUCUGCCGCUGUAUGGGGGUAAUGAUGGGCUCAACAAAGGCGGCUGGAUCGGAGUUCUGUGUUGAUGGAGUUUUUGAUUCCUCAGAUCAAUCGGUCACACGGAAGCCCUUCGUACUCCACUGGUUGCUGUGUCACCAAGAGACUCAGAGUGCUUCCGUCUGCCAGACACGUCUGCCUCACCAUGACGGGGGGAAUGUAAAGGUCGAUGGGAGAGGAUCUGAGCAAUGCUGUAAACCACAGCCUGACCUCGGGGCUCAGCAAACACUGGGGGUAAAUUAA